GUGCGACGGUACUGUAUCCCAUUUCGCGCAUUACUUCGUUAUUGUCACGCUCGCGCGCGUGCGGUCAAAGUAACACAGAAGUCCUCGCGCGUUUUUCCUUCGUCGCGCGUUAAUCUUCCGAGUUCCGCGACCGGCUUCUCUCGGAAUAAUCCUUACAAUUAAUUAGUGUCAACAACGAAGCUCCGCCCGUGAUCUGUGUGUGCAUUAUGUGUUCUCAGUGCGCGGGAUAAUGUGACGCCGUGCGCCACGUUUUCGAACGACGCGGGCCGAAACGCGCGCUCGUCGGAAGGUCCGGAAGUUUUCGGGAGUGCCGAGAUUAGUGCGAGAACGAGAGGCGAGGUCUCGUAUAGUAAAACCGCGAUAGUGUCGCAGCGGCCGUUCGUGCGGCGUCCUUUGUGGUCGGCGACACGGGGAGAGCAACAAGAGGAGAGUAUACGGGACGAGAGAGGAGGGCGAACGGAAGGUGCCCGUGAGAGUAGUACGGCGUGAAGUUGCCGCCGCUACGAUUAACGGAUACGAGCGACGAGCAGCCGCCGCGCCGGACAGAGACGGGGAGGAUUAAACAUAGUGCUAUUUGCGAUCCAGAGUAUUUAUAUUAGCCUGGAAGCAUUAAUCAUCCCAACAUCUCGCCGUCAUAUUGCUGCAAGCUGUGAAGAUAGUUUAUUCCGAUAGUUUUCUGUCCAAUUCCGGCGGAUACAGAAAGUGAUUAUUUGGACCAUGUUUGAACGGAGCUGCGAACAG